rnacentral:rRNA from 1 species
GAUGAACGCUGGCGGCGUGCUUAACACAUGCAAGUCGAACGGUGAAGGCGGAGCUUGCUCUGCUGGAUCAGUGGCGAACGGGUGAGUAACACGUGAGCAAUCUGCCCCUGACUCUGGGAUAAGCGCUGGAAACGGCGUCUAAUACUGGAUACGAGCUGCGAAGGCAUCUUCAGCAGCUGGAAAGAAUUUCGGUCAGGGAUGAGCUCGCGGCCUAUCAGCUUGUUGGUGAGGUAAUGGCUCACCAAGGCGUCGACGGGUAGCCGGCCUGAGAGGGUGACCGGCCACACUGGGACUGAGACACGGCCCAGACUCCUACGGGAGGCAGCAGUGGGGAAUAUUGCACAAUGGGCGAAAGCCUGAUGCAGCAACGCCGCGUGAGGGACGACGGCCUUCGGGUUGUAAACCUCUUUUAGCAGGGAAGAAGCGAAAGUGACGGUACCUGCAGAAAAAGCGCCGGCCAACUACGUG